UAUGGUGAAGUAUUGUAUAGUACAUAGGUUUUUGGUUCCUAAAGAGCGUCUUGAAUCGCCACCAUAA
rnacentral:tRNA from 1 species